rnacentral:rRNA from 1 species
GACGAACGCUGGCGGCGUGCUUAACACAUGCAAGUCGAACGGAAAGGCCUGCUUUCCCUUGUGGAUUGCGGGUGCUCGAGUGGCGAACGGGUGAGUAACACGUGAGUGAUCUGCCCCCAACUUGGGUAUAAGCCUGGGAAACUGGGUCUAAUUCCCGAUAGGACUGCAGGGUGGUGCCUGUGGUGGAAAACGAUUUUCUAGUGGUUGGGGAUGAGCUCGCGGCCUAUCAGCUUGUUGGUGGGGUAAUGGCCUACCAAGGCGGCGACGGGUAGCCGGCCUGAGAGGGUGGACGGCCACAUUGGGACUGAGAUACGACCCAGACUCCUACGGGAGGCAGCAGUGGGGAAUAUUGCAGAAUGGGCGGAAGCCUGAUGCAGCGACGCCGCGUGGGGGAUGACGGCCUUCGGGUUGUAAACUCCUUUCGACCGCGAGGAAGCCGCCUGGUUGGAAGGGUGGUGACGGUAGUGGUAGAAGAAGCACCGGCUAACUACGUG